rnacentral:lncRNA from 1 species
AAAUUCUCAAAGCCGUCCACCCAGGAUGAUUCGUUAAGGUUGUUUUGCCAAGUUUCCAAAAUGCUCCACAUUAUCAGUUUCACAGUGAUUGAGGUUCCCUGCCACGUAUACUAUCAUAACAUAGCAGUCAACUACUUACGAUGGAUAUUGGUGGAGGAUUCAUGGCAAAGGCAACCCUAUCACUAAUAGGUCAAGUCAUAGCUAGCAUAAGUACGAGUAAUAACCCUAUCAAUGCAUUCUAAUAAGCAACACUAAUGCAUAAGUAUUUUUAAAAAAACAACAGUAAUAGAAUAAUGAUCAAAGUGAACUUGCCUUAGUAGCAGUUGGAGUUCAAACACUCGUCACAAUCGCAUGGUUCGCUCUCCGAGUAAACUAAAAUAAACAAGCAUACACACACAUAAACACACAAUUCACAUCACGACAAAAGAAAGUAUGCUAUGAUGCAAUGCAAGCAUGUGACAUGAUUUGAUUUAUUUUAUUUGACGAGGAAGGGUUCAGUUUCUUAGGCAUACAACAAUUGAUCUCUGGUCAAAAGGAUUAAACAAAAUAAACCAAAAAGAAAAAGCUAAAAACAGGGUUUUCAAAUUAAGGCUUAAAACAAGGCUUUAAAAGAAGCAGCCAAAAGAUUUAAUCAAAAAUUUAUUUCUCUGUUCCAAAUGAACAGAGGAUAUUAAAAAAAAAAUUUGGGCACUGGUUCCAAGUUAAAUGAUUUUUAAAACAAAAGAUAUGAAUUAAAUGGCAUUAAACACCAUUCUAUAAAUAGCUCCAGAAACAAUUUAUCAAAUUUGAAUUUAAACAGUGCCAAAAGAUUCUACAGGUUGAGAGCUUUCCAGAAAGGUAAAAUUCCUCAAAUUUGGUCAAGUGGUUUAAAAGAUAUAAACAUUUGAAGUUCUAGGGGUUUUUCUGUAAAACUGCCAUUUAAUCAAACCGGGAAUUAAAUUUUAAUUUUUAGACUAUGCCACGUGUCGUGUUUCUAUUGGCGCGUACUGGUUCGGGUGAAGGAUUUAAUCCAGGCCAUC